AUUGAACGCUGGCGGCAGGCCUAAUACAUGCAAGUCGAACGAGUGGCGGACGGGUGAGUAUUGUUUGGGAAACUGCCUGAUGGAGGGGGAUAACUACUGGAAACGGUAGCUAAUACCGCAUACCAUCAGAUGUGCCCAGUUGGGUUUAGCUAGUUGGUGGGGUAACGCCUCACCAAGGCGACGAUCCCUAGCCGGUCUGAGAGGAUGACCGGCAACGUGGGAACUGAGACACGGUCCAGACUCCUACGGGAGUCAGCAGUGGGAAAUAUUGCACAAUGGGCGAAAGCCUGAUGCAGCCAUGCCGCGUGUAUGAAGAAGGCCUUCGGGUUGUAAGAUACUUUCAGCGGGGAGGCGUUACCCGCAGAAAAAGCGCCGGCUAACUCCGUGCCAGCAGCCGCGGUAAUUC
rnacentral:rRNA from 1 species